ensembl:rRNA 5S_rRNA 5S ribosomal RNA
GCUUAUGGCCACACCGGCCUGAGUACGCCUGAUCUCGUCCGAUCUCGGAAGCUAAGCAGGGUCGGGCCUGGUUAGUACUUGGAUGGUAGACCGCCUGGGAAUACCAGGUGCUGUAAGCU